UUUUUAUGAGAGUUUGAUCCUGGCUCAGGACGAACGCUGGCGGCGUGCCUAAUACAUGCAAGUCGAACGCAUUUUCUUCCACCGUAGCUUGCUACACC
rnacentral:rRNA from 1 species